rnacentral:misc_RNA from 1 species
CAUGACGGCCCCUCCGCCUCUACGACGGCGGCGGUCAUCGAGCUCUACAUGCGUCUUGAGCGCCUCGCCAUUCAAAGUGGCUCUAAUAGUAGACCAGAAAUCGCAUGCGACCAGGGCGACAACGAUGGGUCAGCGACGUCAGUGCGUGCAUCGCAGCGUGGCUCUGCCGUGUCGUGCCGGUUGGACGGAGGCCGCCUUCGGAGCACCAGCAGCCCUCAACUCUUCUUACUGGGUGAUGAUGGAGUGGUGCGCGAGCUCGCUACCGCGCUGCAGGUGUCGUCGUCGUCGCUGCUCAACAGCCAUGACAACACUCCGCCGCAUGGAACAGGGUUGGCUGCAGCGCUUGAUGGCAUCAUCGGCGACGCACAGAGUCGUGUGUACGGAACUCCGGAUACACCGUCUUCUUUCCUGCGGCGGGCUGAUGAAGACAGCGGCACACUAGCGCCAAGCUCAUCAUCCCACGCAGCAGCGCCGCCACCGGAGGUGUACACUCUCUCCAACAGCCUACGCGGCCUGGAGUCCAUGCGCCCCGAGUUGUGCGGGUGGUGCAACGUCGUGCUGCUCUGCUACCACGUUGCGAACCCUGUGAGUUUGGCCCUGCUUGGAGAAGAGGUAGCCCCCUCUGUCUUGGCUGCGUUAGCGACGGCGGCACACCUGACGCGUCCAGCCACGACCACAUAAACGACCGCAAGCGUCGAUGUGCUUCCCCCACAGCGGACGACAACGAGAGCUCACUUACCAAUGCACAGGAGAGGCUGGGGGUGUGGCCUCCAUCGCCUGCCAGCUACGCCGCGCCAUGCUAUCGCCAUCGCCGCUACCUGUAUGUGUCGUGGUCGCUGCAGAGACGCGGGAAGAAAGCGAUACGCGUGGCAAGCAAGCCAGGCGCGCAUCACCUAUGCGCAGUGUCGACGACGUUGUAGCCUGAUGGCGAUGCAUGCCUUUCCAUCUCUUUCACUCUAUCCUCCUUUGCACACGCACACGCACACACACAAACUCCACUAUGGCUCUCCUCGUCGAUAUCAAG